rnacentral:rRNA from 1 species
CCUACGGGAGGCAGCAGUGAGGAAUAUUGGUCAAUGGACAAGAGUCUGAACCAGCCAAGUAGCGUGAAGGAUGACUGCCCUAUGGGUUGUAAACUUCUUUUAUAUGGGAAUAAAAUGUUCCACGUGUGGGAUUUUGUAUGUACCAUAUGAAUAAGGAUCGGCUAACUCCGUGCCAGCAGCCGCGGUAAUACGGAGGAUCCGAGCGUUAUCCGGAUUUAUUGGGUUUAAAGGGAGCGUAGGUGGAUUGUUAAGUCAGUUGUGAAAGUUUGCGGCUCAACCGUAAAAUUGCAGUUGAAACUGGCAGUCUGGAGUACAGUAGAGGUGGGCGGAAUUCGUGGUGUAGCGGUGAAAUGCUUAGAUAUCACGAAGAACUCCGAUUGCGAAGGCAGCUCACUGGACUGCAACUGACACUGAGGCUCGAAAGUGUGGGUAUCAAACAGGAUUAGAUACCCCAGUAGUC